AAAAUAAUCUGGUUCUGAUACCAGUUGAAGAAAAUUUACGAUAGUGCAGUAUAUGUAAUUAAAAAUUUUAUGUAGCAAAAAUAAUAGAUUAAACAAUUUAAUCUUAAUCAUAUGUAUAAAAUCUAAUCUUAGACUAUCACAUCAAGAUCUUUGAUAUAAAAAAUAUAUACUUUAGAUCUAAAAAUAAAAAUCACAUUGAUUUCAUCGAUGUUGAAAUUCUAGAUUUAACUAUUAGAUCUACUAUAGGAAUCAAAAUAAGUUAG
rnacentral:lncRNA from 1 species